rnacentral:rRNA from 1 species
CAGUCGCCACGGUAAUACGUAGGUGGCAAGCGUUGUCCGGAAUUAUUGGGCGUAAAGCGCGCGCAGGUGGUUUAAUAAGUCUGAUGUGAAGGCCCACGGCUCAACCGUGGAGGGUCAUUGGAAACUGUUAAACUUGAGUGCAGGAGAGAAAAGUGGAAUUCCUAGUGUAGCGGUGAAAUGCGUAGAGAUUAGGAGGAACACCAGUGGCGAAGGCGGCUUUUUGGCCUGUAACUGACACUGAGGCGCGAAAGCGUGGGGAGCAAACAGAAUUAGAUACCCGCGUAGUCCCUGUCUCUUAUAA